GGGAGGUCCUGGGUUCAAAUGUGGCCUCAGCCUUCCCAGCCAGGUGACCCUGGGCCAGUCAUUUACCCCCAUACACCUGGGAAAGUGAGGAGGAGCCCAGGAAAGCCCCCGGGAGACCCCAGGAGCCACCAUGCAGCGAUCUAUCAAGUCCUUCUUCCAGCCCAAGAGUGGGGACAAGGGGGAGAAGCCAGAGACCCCCAAAGGCAGCGGGGAGAGAGAGCCGG